UACGUAGGCAGCAAGCGUUGUUCGGAAUUACUGGGCGUAAAGAGUGUGUAGGCGGUGCUCUAAGUUUGGUGUGAAAUCUCCCGGCUUAACUGGGAGGGUGCGCCGAAAACUGGAAUGCUUGAACAUGGGAGAGGAAAGCGGAAUUCCUGGUGUAGCGGUGAAAUGCGUAGAUAUCAGGAGGAACACCUGCGGUGUAGACGGCUUUCUGGACCAUUGUUGACGCUGAGACACGAAAGCGUGGGGAGCAAACAGG
rnacentral:rRNA from 1 species